rfam:Coprococcus catus GD/7 draft genome.
GGAUGGAUUCCCGAGUGGCCAAAGGGGACAGACUGUAAAUCUGCUGCGACACGCUUCGGUGGUUCGAAUCCACCUCCAUCCA